AUACUUACCUGGACGGGGUCGACGGCUGAUCAAGAAGAGUCGUGGCCUAGGCUAGUGGUCCACAUUGCACUUGGUGGAUGCGCUGGCCUACCAUCUCCCCAAGUGGGAGAGUGGACGUCGUAAUUUGUGGUAGAGGGGGUACGCGUUCGCGCGGCCCCUA
rnacentral:snRNA from 1 species